AGCAGCCGCGGUAAUUCCAGCUCCAAUAGCGUAUAUUAAAGUUGUUGCAGUUAAAAAGCUCGUAGUUGAAUUUCGAGACCGGUCUACUGGUCGUGCUUUUGUACGUACUGGUAUAAUCGGUUUCUCUCUUCUGACGAACUAUGGUGCCAUUAAUUUGGUGUUUUAGGGAAUCAGGACUGUUACUUUGAAAAAUUAGAGUGUUUAAAGCAGGCUCACGCUUGAAUACAUUAGCAUGGAAUAACGAAAUAGGACGUUUGAUUCUAUUUUGUUGGUUUCUAGGAUCGACGUAAUGAUUAAUAGGGAUAGUUGGGGGCAUUAGUAUUCAAUUGUCAGAGGUGAAAUUCUUGGAUUUAUUGAAGACUAACUACUGCGAAAGCAUUUGCCAAGGAUGUUUUCAUUAAUCAAGAACGAAAGUUAGGGGAUCGAAGACGAUCAGAUACCGUCGUAGUCUUAACCAUAAAUUAUGCCGACUAGGGAUCGGAUGAUGUUAAAUUAAUGACUCA
rnacentral:rRNA from 1 species